UACGGGGGGGGUAAGCGUUGUUCGGAAUUACUGGGCGUAAAGGGCUCGUAGGCGGCCAACUAAGUCAGACGUGAAAUCCCUCAGCUUAACUGGGGAACUGCGUCUGAUACUGGAUGGCUUGAAUCCGGGAGAGGGAUGCGGAAUUCCAGGUGUAGCGGUGAAAUGCGUAGAUAUCAGGAGGAACACCUGUGGUGUAGACAGCUUACUGGACCACUUCUGACGCUGAGACACGAAAGCGUGGGUAGCAAACAGG
rnacentral:rRNA from 1 species